UUUUACGAGUGCCUUUCUCAUAUGUGGUAUAAGUCUGUAAGCUUUUUACCGCUUUGGUGUUAUUAGACCAAAACACUUAUAUUUACGCCCGCACAAUUAAACCGAAAAUCCAAUCCAGGUACAACCAAACCAAUAAACAAACUACUGAACCAACCGUUAACAAUUUGAAAAGAAAAAUGAUGACUAAUUGACAGUAUUUACAGUCAUAUAAAUAAAUGCUGCCAAAUUUUACUUUGGUAAUAUAAAUGUCACAAUGAUAAUUCCAACUAACGCAACAAAGAUUUUUGUGUUGUCAUCAAUUUUAUUAAAAUAUUAAGCACAUUUUACAUGUACAGUCAGUCCCGUAGUUUAUAUACAAUAUGUUUUAUAAGAGAUAAAAGUAUAAUUGAAAUAAAGAUGCAAAAAAUUCAAUAUAGCUGUAUAUGUAUGCAACGGCGUAUUUAGUUGUAGAAGUGGAACUGUUUUCACGUAGUUUAUAUACAAUAUGUUUUAUAAGAGAUAAAAGUAUAAUUGAAAUAAAGAUGCAAAAAAUACAAUAUAGCUGUAUAUGUAUGCAACGGCGUAUUUAGUUGUAGAAGUGGAACUGUUUUCACGAAUGUCGUCAUCGAGGGUCAAAGGUCAAUGGGAACGAUUUUUGCGGGUGAACGAUUUUUUUUCUGACACCGGCUGAAACUUGGGGGUCAACACUGAAGAAACGGGAGGUCAACGCGAAACAAGGAGGUCAACACUGAAAAUUGGGUACUAACGCGCAGCGGUUAUAUUGUUGUUAUUAAUAUACACGGUUUGAUUGGAAAAAGUAAGUUACACAUUUAACUAAAAAAUUCCGUUUCGUCAUCUUGCUUGCUGAUCUUUCUGUGCUUCAAAAAAUUCCCACAGUUUUUUUUUCUGGUCCCGAAGUUGAAGCGCGUGGAAACUCGCUGUUGAUGUCAUCGCGAGUUAAACCCGGAAUGUCUUCCAAGUCCAUACUGUCUUCAAAGUCCAUAUAAAUAUCUUUUAAUUUUGAUAUCGUAAGCCACAGCAUUGUUAGAUAUUAAAAAGAUAAACAAACCUUUAAUAGCUUCAAUAGUAGUUUUCUGCCGCAGCGUAAAUUGCUUCCAUCUUGUACAACGAAUCCGAUAAACCGCCAUUUUUUAGCAUUGUUGCGUCACGCCUGACAGUCUGGCUGAUCGUAUGUGACGUAAACGAGCGGGUAUAUUCAGAUUUGCAAGAAAGUUAUAUUGAUAUACGGUCAGUUAAUAUUAAUAGAAAUUGAGUGGAAAUGCUCUUAGUGUCUGAGGGCGAAUUUCUUAGUUCCUUUGUUCAACACUCUCAAUUCCGUUUGUUGCGCUGUACGAAAUAGAGUCCAAUCUGACUCUUAUGAAACACUAUCGAUGACGAAUUAACGCUCGCCUGCCAAUUAAACCAUUCCUCGUCUCAACACGAAAAUCAUCAAGCAAGUUCCGUCGACGAACGGUCCGCGGCCACCUUCACUUUAAAACUGAAGGAAAAUUAUAAUUUAACACAAGUAAGAUGCGAUAUGUGCAUAUUCUAUUUUGCUUGUUAUCACAUUUUUAUCUUGAUUUAGGUUGCUGUGAAUUCAAUUGUAAACGAAGUUGGUGCAAAUG